AAAAGUAAAACAGGUUGACAAGUUUAUUACGGUCGCUGACUCGCUCUAUUAUAUGAGGGUAGGGUCUUUGUUAAGGACCCGGGAUUUUGGCCCAUGACCCUCACGUUUAUGUACAUUCAUGCAACCAGUGUGUGAGUUCUUAUUUCAAAACAGUGCACACAUAUUAUCCAUAUAAAGUUUAAGACACUAUGGGGUCAUAAAUACAUACUAACAUGAUGACAUAUUGCUAGACUUCACCCUGAUUUUUGUAACAAAACAGGGUGAUCUUGUUUAGAGCAAAGUUUUACAGCUUUUACCCUGCUGAUACAUGUCUAUAGAAAGAUAAAGCAAAGUCUAGUACAUUCACCAGUACCACAUCAAUCAAUCAGAUUGCAUAUGCUGAAAAAUCUCCCGCCUAUGACAUAUAACAUUGAUUUUUAAAAAACUGGAUUUUCCUUAUUAUUCUAGAGGAAACUAAUUUUAAAAUGGACAAUGAAAA